rnacentral:rRNA from 1 species
AGAGUUUGAUCAUGGCUCAGGUCGAACGCUGGCGGCAUGUCUAAGGCAUGCAAGUCGAACGAACAACAUCGGUGCUUGCAUUGAUCGCGUAAGUGGCAAACGGGAGAGUAACGCAUUGGUAAUUUACCCUGUAUUCGUGAACAACCUUUGGAAACGAAGGCUAAUACACGAUAUUGAUGGGGGGACGCAAGUCAUUCCCAUUGAAAGCUCCGGCGGUUUGGGAGAAGCCUAUGUACUAUCAGCUUGUUGGUGAGGUAAAAGCUCACCAAGGCUACGACGGUUACCGGGCGUGAGAGCGUGACCCGGCUCACUGGGACUGAGACACUGCCCAGACUCCUACGGGAGGCUGCAGUCAAGAAUCUUCCGCAAUGCACGAAAGUGUGACGGAGCGACGCCGCGUGUCGGAUGAAGGCCUUCGGGUCGUAACGACUGUUCUAAGGGACGAAAUUUAUGACGGUACCUUAGCAGAAAGAGGUUGCUAACUCUGUGCCAGCAGCAGCGGUAAUACAGAGACCUCGAGCGUUGACCGGAUUUAUUGGGCGUAAAGCGUGCGCAGGCGGUUUCGUAAGUCAUUUGUUAAAUCUUCAGGCUCAACCUGGAGGCUGCAGGUGAUACUGCAAAACUAGAGAAUGGGAGAGGUAAGUGGAAUGCCCGGUGUAGGAGUAAAAUCCGUUAAGAUCGGGUAGAACACCAAAUGCGAAGGCAAAUAGCUGGAACGAUCCUGACGCUGAUGCACGAAAGCGUGGGUAGCGAAUCGGAUUAGAUACCCGAGUAGUCCACGCCGUAAACGAUGAGUGCUAGGUAUUGCGAGUAUCGACCCUCGCAGUGCCGACGAACCAAGCUAACGCGUUAAGCACUCCGCCUGGGGAGUACGGCCGCAAGGCUAAAACUCAAAGGAAUAGACGGGGACCUGCACAAGCGGUGGAUCAUGCGGUUUAAUUCGAUACAACGCGAGAAACCUCACCCGGGUUUGACAUAUAGCUGCAAACUCUAAGAAACUAGAGCAUCUUUCGAAGGUGCUAUACAGGUGCUGCAUGGUUGUCGUCAGCUCGUGCCGUGAGGUGUACCCUUAAGUGGGGUAACGAGCGCAACCCCUGUUCUGUGUUGUACUUUCACAGAAGACUGCCUACGCAAGUGGGAGGAAGGCGGGGACGACGUCAAAUCAGCAUGGCCCUUACGUCUGGGGCAACACGCAUGAUACAAUGGCCGGUACAACGGGCUGCCAAGGCGCGAGACGGAGCAAAUCCCUUAAAACUGGUCUCAGUUCGGAUUGUAGUCUGAAACUCGACUACAUGAAGUCGGAAUCGCUAGUAAAGGCGGAUCAUCACGCCGCCUUGAAUACGUUCUCAGGUCUUGUACUCACCGCCCGUCACGUCAAGAGAGUUGGGGGCGCCCGAACGUCGCUGUAGAGCGGCGGAAGGUAAAUCCAGCGAUAGGGACUAAGUCGUAACAAGGUA